UAAAAUGUAUAAUAUAAAAUGUGUAUAAAGUAUAAUAUAAAGAUACAGUAUUUCAGUGUUAAAGGUAUAAAAAGUGGCAAGACUGAAGAUGUGACUCAGGUAAUGAGUCAAAGAAACAGUGGGAUUUUUAAUUAAGUUUGCUCAUUUUCUUUAAGGCUGACAAUACAUCUGAGAAUCUGACAUUUAUUUGUGAAUGCAUUCCAGGUUUGCACGCUGCAUAUCAAAACUGAGGACAAGCCUGGAGGAGGGUGGGGCAGUGUGCUGAGAUACUGUAUCUGACUUGCCCUCCGGCCUGCAAGAGAAAUUCUUUCCAUCUGAGUCCUCCUGAGGUGGUGCUUUGGCAGAAGAUUGUCUUGUCCCUGCUCCUGCCCUGAGUCAGCUGAGUCCUCAGGUACCUGGAGGGCAUCCCAGAAAAACAGGAGGGUGAGCCAGCCUGCUCAGACAUUGAUGCUUUCUGAAUCUCACAGGGAAGUUGAGCAGCCCCAUCUUGUGAACUUCAGGGAUCUGGGUGCAGGUGGAGGAUGGGAGUGCAGCCCAGCCCUUCCCAAGCCGUGGUUCUGCAGUGCCCCUGCACAGGGUAUGGUGCUUCUUUUGCCCUGUAACAAACACAGUAACCAACAGGUGCCUGGAGAGGUGUGGGAGCUCUGGGUGAUUAUUUGUAUAAAACCACAACAGCACCAGGAGCCCUUGUGCACCCCUGGGUGAGCCCCAGCCACAGGUGGGUUUGGCCAAGCUCUCAGUGACAGCAGACUUGCCUGUCCUUAAGGAAGGCCAUGGAUGUCUCUCCAUGGAAGCUGAACCAGCACAGAGCAGUGACAACAGCACCUUCUGACUCAGAGUUAUGCAGAACAACUGGGGGGAAGCAGUGCCUGAUGUGGAUUGAUCAAUAAUGCUGUCUUUGCAGUGUUUCCUGAGGAAAAAAGUAUUCAAAACUCUGCUAAAGGAAAUUAUAUUUUAGGUUGAACUAAACAUUUCAAGUUAUUUUGAAAUACCCUUUCCAGCCUGGAAUCCUGUUUGGUUUGGUAGCAGAAAACCUGUCCAAUAGUAAGCUGAACAUUUUGAAUUUUCAAAAGGAAGUAGAGACAAGCAACUGCUGCAUAUUCAGGGCAGUCUCAGCUCCUUCUUAGCUCUCUGAGAGUCCCAGAGAGGGUUAAAAGGGAUGAGGGUGUGUCAGUUCUAUGCCAGGUAGUGGAUUUCAGCCUGCAGUGGCACCAACUUCUGCAGUUUCACCAUAGAUUUUGUUACAGUUGUUUUUCAAAGUUCUGGUCCUUCAUAUCCCGUAAUUAUGUGAUAAUUUCAGUAUUUCUUAAAGCUAAAGGUAAAUUGACAACUUUUGUGAUUGUAGAGAAUAGCUUAAAAACAACUAGAAAGUUUUAAAAGGAAGAAAGGCAAAUAGAGGAAACCCAAAAUUAUGUUUUGUUGAAAUCUCAAGAUUUGAAAGGCAAACUUGUGAUUUUGUGGCCUAGGACAGGACUGCUAAAUGCUUGGUGUUGGCAAUGCUCUGUUUAUUUUCCGUGCUUGGAUUUCUGCAUGGCUUUAUACAUAUUAUGAAAAAUGCAGUAUUUUAUGUUAUUUUUUAAAAGAAAGCAGAUUGCUUGGUUGGAUGAUCUCCAAACCAGACUGUAACAUACUAUAAAAAUUCUACAGUGCACUGUAACAAGCUACAAUAGGCUGAGAUGUUACUUUAGGAGCAUAAAAACAGGCGCAUUGGGGAGGAAGAGAAUUAUAAGGUAUAUUGCUCGUGUUCAUGGCCAAAAAGAGGAAGAAAAAAUAUACACUGUGUGUGUAAACAGCACACUGGAAUUACAGAACAAAAUUUAAUUAGAUCUUUAUAAAUAAAGUCCACAUACACUGAUUUAUGAUAUAUUUC
rnacentral:lncRNA from 1 species